CGGAUGGCCAGUGUCGUGCAGAAUUGGAGAAGUAGUUAGGUUAGAUUGGCCAAUCCAACUUACUAACAUAAUGUAUAUACAUCGUUUACCACUUACAACAGUGUACGUGGGUUGGAUGACCGUGGUUCCAUCCCUGGCAGGUUGAAGCUGUCUUCUAGACCAGAGGUCUCCAAACUAAAAAAACAUAGCACGCACCCCCGGA